rnacentral:siRNA from 1 species
AGAUGCCAAGAGUUUGGGGCUUCC